CACUAACUUAAUUAGAGGCCAAUUGGGCCCUUAAUUGUAAUAUCCCUCGUUUUUAAAAAUUAUUAAUAAAGAUUUAUAUGUAAAUUGGAGGACCUAUAUGUAAAUAUAGAAAUUACAAGGACUAAACUGCUAAGUUGCAAAAAAAAAAAAAAGAAAAAAAAAGGGAAAACCGAAAAUUCGGUAUUAUCCCACCGCCUCCCACGCACUCUGUUUCUUUCCAGAAACAGAGAGAGCGGUGGGGCAUGAGGAUUGAAGAAAAGAAGAAGAAGAGGGAAAAGAAGAGAGGAGGAAGAAGAGAGGAAGAAGAGGGAGAAGAGAAGAAGAAGAAGAAGAAGAGGAGGUGGCUGCAGCGAGGGCUGCAGCGAGGAGCUGUGGGGCGUGGGGAGAAGAAGAGAGGAAGAAGAGGGAGAAGAGAAGAAGAAGAAGAAGAAGAAGAAGAAGAAGAAGAAGAGAGGAGGAUAGCUGCGGCAAGGCUGCAGCGAGGAGGUGUGUGGCUUUGGUGAGGAAAAGGGAAGAGGAGAAGAAGAGAAGGAGAAGAAGAGGGAAAAGAGAGGCAGCUGCAGCAGCCAGGGCUGCAGCACCUCUGUUUCCCGCAGGUGGAAACAGAGGAGAGGAUGUGUGGGGCGUUGAGGAAGAAGAGGGAGAAGAGAAGAAGAAGAAGAAGAAGAAGAAGAAGAAGAAGAAGAUAGCUGCGGCAAGGCUGCAGCGAGGAGAUGUGUGGCCUUGGGGAGGAAAAGGGAAGAGGGGAAGAGGAGAAGAAGAAGAAGAGGAAGAGAAAGAGGUGUGAUACCUCUGUUUCCUGCAGAGGAAACAGAGGAGAGGGUGUGUGUGACGCCGGGGAAGAAGGGGCUGCAGCUGCGGCGAUGGCAGCUGCAGCUGGAAGAGAAGAAGAAGAGGAAGAUGAGCAGGGGAGGAGGGAGAGGUUGCGGCCGUGGCUGCGGCCGCGACUGCAGCAGUUGCAGCGGGGAGAGAAGAAGAAGAAAGGAAGGAGAAGGAAGAGGAGAAGGGGCUGCGGCUGCGGCGAUGGCAGCUGCAGCUGUGGCAGGGAAAGAGAAAAAGGAAAGGAAGAAGAAGAGAAAGGGAAGGAGAGGAAGAAGAGAGGAAGAGGAGAAGGGGCUGCGGCUGCGGCGAUGGCAACUGCAGCUGUGGCAGGGAAAGAGAAAAAGGAAAGGAAGAAGAAGAGAAAGGGAAGGAGAGGAAGAAGAGAGGAAGAGGAGAAGGGGCUGCGGCUGCGGUGAUGGCAGCUGCAGCUGUGGCGGGGAAAGAAGAGAAGGAAAGGAAGAAGAAGAGAAAGGGAAGGAGAGGAAGAAGAGAGGAAGAGGAGAAGGGGUGGCAGCUGCGGCAGUGGCAGCUGCAGUUGGAAGAGAAGUAGGAGAGGAAAUAGAGUAGCAGAGGAAGGAGAGGAAGAAGAGAGGAAGAGGAGAAGGGGCUGCGGCUGCGGCGAUGGCAACUGCAGCUGUGGCAGGGAAAGAGAAAAAGGAAAGGAAGAAGAAGAGAAAGGGAAGGAGAGGAAGAAGAGAGGAAGAGGAGAAGGGGUGGCAGCUGCGGCAGUGGCAGCUGCAGUUGGAAGAGAAGUAGGAGAGGAAAUAGAGUAGCAGAGGAAGAAGAGGCUGCGGUUGUGGUGGCUGCGGCCAUGGCUGCGACUGCGACUGCGGCAGUUGCAGCUGGGAAAGAAAGGAAAGGAAAGGGGGAAAAAGGGGCUGCGGACGGGAUUGCGGUCGCAGCGGCAGCGACUGCGUAUGCAGCAGUUAUGUCUGCGAGAAAAGGGAGGAAGGAAGGUAGUGCGGUGGAAGGGGCUGCGAUUGUGGCAGCGGCAGCGGCCGCGGUUGUGGCAGCUGCAUUUGGGAAAGAAAAAGAAGGAAUGAGAGUAAGAGAAAGCAAGUGACUGUGCCUCGAUGUUCGACACAUGAUGUAGUUGCGAAGAAAGGAAGAAAACGGGAGCACAAAACGAAACAGAGAGAGGACACGGAGAAAAAGUAGAAGGAUUUGGGCUGGCACCUUCUUUGGAUCUUCGGAUCGAAAUCAUUGAAAGGUCAGCUUGACACUCUUCGAGAUGUUUGAUUUGGGCUGAGGCAGUGGAUAGCUAUUCAGAAUAAUGGGCAAGUCUGGUUGGUUAUUACGAUAUUGUUGUAUAAGUAUGUCUUGUAUGUAAUGAAAUGUUGUCGAUGAACCGAAAUGGAUAUACUGUAUCAAAGUGUUAGGAGAUCUCUCUUAUUUGGAAUUUCAGAAUGUUAAGUCAAAUUUAUGGUGAUAUGAACUUGUGGUGAAUAGUUGGAGUUCUGAUUGUAUAAUUUAUUUAGCUUGUGGAUUUAUAAAUGUUGUUCAUGUUUGUCAAGUUGGCUUGGGUUGCCAUAAAUGUGAAUUAUCGAGUGAUGUGAUAUAUGAUUAUAAACUGCACAGGUUCUAUGGAUGUGAAUAUGAAUAGAAUGUUUUCAGUGUCCUCAAACGUUAGUUUGGAUCCUGGAUUGGUCUGUGACGAAAAUUUUAAAAAAUCAUGGAUAUUUUGUGGGGGCGUGACAGAGGUGGUAUCAGAGCAUUGUUUGAGGAUUACUGAAAUAUUUGAUAUGUUGACGUGCAAAAUAUAUUGAGGUCUAAUGAAACUAUAGUGAUUGGUGGAAAUUUUCUUUGAUGUAUUUUAGGAAUCUAGGAUGACGAUGACAUUUAGUCCUCCUACUUCAUCUGAUUUUGAUUAAUUAAGUGGGAUAAAAGGGGUAAUCGGGGAUAUUGAAUCAGAGUGGCGCAGCGGAAGCAUGGUGGACCUAAUUUCAUUGGUGGUAGAAAAAUGAAAGAUGCAAACAGAGAAGAUAUUUGAUGUACAAAAUUGUUUUGAUGAUCAAAAGAUUUCUUUUGCCACCUUAUAUUGGAAGUAGAGGCUGAUUAUUAUUGGCAACAAUGAAAAGAAUUUUUGGAGAUCAGUGACAAGAAUGAUAAGGACAAGUUUACCAAUAAGAAUAUGAUUGGAAAUGAAUCAGAAAGUAAUGACAAGAGGGUCAAGACAUUUGGAUUUGAAAAGGAAAGUCACCACCAAAGACUUAAUCAUGUGUGAAUUACAAGUUAAAUUAUGAAACAAGUUUGUGUUUUCGGGUGAUUGGAGUCUAUUUUGCUUGUAGAAAGUUGGAUCAUAAAAUAAAAGUUUGCCCUUUGAACAAGAAGAAAGAGUCACUGCCUCCUAAAUCAUCAGCCCAUGUAAGAGUGUAUGCUAUCACUAAAUAUGAUUCUGAAACUUCUGAAUUAGUGGUCAAAGAUAUUAUGCAUGUUUAUGAAAGAAUGCAAAUAUUUGUUUGACCAUGGGUCCCAUCUAUGAUUUGAUUCGGAAUAUUCUGCCUAUCACUUGGGUAUUCAACCUAGACCACUACAUCAAGUGCUAUAUGUAAAUACGAUCAUUGGAGAUUCUUUGAUAACGAACUUGAAUCUGGUCCUCUUGUCUGAUUUUUGUUGGAGAACUUGAACUUUUGCUGAUUUAGUUCUCCUAGAGAUUUGGAGUUACGAUAUUAUACUUGGUAUGGAUUGGCCAUCUUCUUAUCAUACCAGUAUGGAUUGAUAUAUAACAAAUGAUCACUUUUUGUAUAUUUGAUCAGUCGAUCUUUUACUUUGAGAGUAUGGGACAUGAUUUAUCUCCUUGCCUAAUGUAUCCAGGAUGACUUGCUUGGAUUACCUCCAAAUGUGACUUUGCUUUUGAUUUGGUCCUUGGGAUAAUCCCAAUAUUUAAGCCUCUCUACAGAAAGAUAUCAUUUGAGUAAGUGGAAUUGGAAAAGCAACUACAAGGAUUGUUAAAUGAGGAUUUUAUUUGGCUUAAUAUUUCAUCAUGGGGUGCUCCGGUGUUAGUUAAAAGAAAUGUAUGGAACAUUGAGGCUUUGUAAUGAUUAUAGACAGUUGAAUUAGGUGACCAUAAAAAAACGAGUAUUUUCUGAAGUAUCGACUUGCUCGAUUAAUUACAGGGUACGCAAGUAUUUUUAGAAAUUGAUUGAAGGUCGGGUUACCGUCUAUUGAGGAUCAAGGAGGAGAAUAUUUCGGUCACUCGUGGAUAAUUAUGUAAUUGUAUUGUAUUGAUGAAACUAUUUAAGAGUAGGAGGAGGAAAUAAAGAUAUCAUAAUCCUCAUCUUUUCACCGAUUGAGCUAUGAUCAAUUUAGAGGACUAAAUUUUCUUUUAAGGGGGGGAGAGUGUAAUAUCCCUCGUUUUUAAAAAUUAUUAAUAAAGAUUUAUAUGUAAAUUGGAGGACCUAUAUGUAAAUAUAGAAAUUACAAGGACUAAACUGCUAAGUUGCAAAAAAAAAAAAAAAGAAAAAAAAAGGGAAAACCGAAAAUUCGGUAUUAUCCCACCGCCUCCCACGCACUCUGUUUCUUUCCAGAAACAGAGAGAGCGGUGGGGCAUGAGGAUUGAAGAAAAGAAGAAGAAGAGGGAAAAGAAGAGAGGAGGAAGAAGAGAGGAAGAAGAGGGAGAAGAGAAGAAGAAGAAGAAGAAGAGGAGGUGGCUGCAGCGAGGGCUGCAGCGAGGAGCUGUGGGGCGUGGGGAGAAGAAGAGAGGAAGAAGAGGGAGAAGAGAAGAAGAAGAAGAAGAAGAAGAAGAAGAAGAAGAAGAAGAAGAAGAAGAAGAAGAAGAGAGGAGGAUAGCUGCGGCAAGGCUGCAGCGAGGAGGUGUGUGGCUUUGGUGAGGAAAAGGGAAGAGGAGAAGAAGAGAAGGAGAAGAAGAGGGAAAAGAGAGGCAGCUGCAGCAGCCAGGGCUGCAGCACCUCUGUUUCCCGCAGGUGGAAACAGAGGAGAGGAUGUGUGGGGCGUUGAGGAAGAAGAGGGAGAAGAGAAGAAGAAGAAGAAGAAGAAGAAGAAGAAGAAGAAGAUAGCUGCGGCAAGGCUGCAGCGAGGAGAUGUGUGGCCUUGGGGAGGAAAAGGGAAGAGGGGAAGAGGAGAAGAAGAAGAAGAGGAAGAGAAAGAGGUGUGAUACCUCUGUUUCCUGCAGAGGAAACAGAGGAGAGGGUGUGUGUGACGCCGGGGAAGAAGGGGCUGCAGCUGCGGCGAUGGCAGCUGCAGCUGGAAGAGAAGAAGAAGAGGAAGAUGAGCAGGGGAGGAGGGAGAGGUUGCGGCCGUGGCUGCGGCCGCGACUGCAGCAGUUGCAGCGGGGAGAGAAGAAGAAGAAAGGAAGGAGAAGGAAGAGGAGAAGGGGCUGCGGCUGCGGCGAUGGCAGCUGCAGCUGUGGCAGGGAAAGAGAAAAAGGAAAGGAAGAAGAAGAGAAAGGGAAGGAGAGGAAGAAGAGAGGAAGAGGAGAAGGGGCUGCGGCUGCGGCGAUGGCAACUGCAGCUGUGGCAGGGAAAGAGAAAAAGGAAAGGAAGAAGAAGAGAAAGGGAAGGAGAGGAAGAAGAGAGGAAGAGGAGAAGGGGCUGCGGCUGCGGUGAUGGCAGCUGCAGCUGUGGCGGGGAAAGAAGAGAAGGAAAGGAAGAAGAAGAGAAAGGGAAGGAGAGGAAGAAGAGAGGAAGAGGAGAAGGGGUGGCAGCUGCGGCAGUGGCAGCUGCAGUUGGAAGAGAAGUAGGAGAGGAAAUAGAGUAGCAGAGGAAGGAGAGGAAGAAGAGAGGAAGAGGAGAAGGGGCUGCGGCUGCGGCGAUGGCAACUGCAGCUGUGGCAGGGAAAGAGAAAAAGGAAAGGAAGAAGAAGAGAAAGGGAAGGAGAGGAAGAAGAGAGGAAGAGGAGAAGGGGUGGCAGCUGCGGCAGUGGCAGCUGCAGUUGGAAGAGAAGUAGGAGAGGAAAUAGAGUAGCAGAGGAAGAAGAGGCUGCGGUUGUGGUGGCUGCGGCCAUGGCUGCGACUGCGACUGCGGCAGUUGCAGCUGGGAAAGAAAGGAAAGGAAAGGGGGAAAAAGGGGCUGCGGACGGGAUUGCGGUCGCAGCGGCAGCGACUGCGUAUGCAGCAGUUAUGUCUGCGAGAAAAGGGAGGAAGGAAGGUAGUGCGGUGGAAGGGGCUGCGAUUGUGGCAGCGGCAGCGGCCGCGGUUGUGGCAGCUGCAUUUGGGAAAGAAAAAGAAGGAAUGAGAGUAAGAGAAAGCAGGUGACUGUGCCUCGAUGUUCGACACAUGAUGUAGUUGCGAAGAAAGGAAGAAAACGGGAGCACAAAACGAAACAGAGAGAGGACACGGAGAAAAAGUAGAAGGAUUUGGGCUGGCACCUUCUUUGGAUCUUCGGAUCGAAAUCAUUGAAAGGUCAGCUUGACACUCUUCGAGAUGUUUGAUUUGGGCUGAGGCAGUGGAUAGCUAUUCAGAAUAAUGGGCAAGUCUGGUUGGUUAUUACGAUAUUGUUGUAUAAGUAUGUCUUGUAUGUAAUGAAAUGUUGUCGAUGAACCGAAAUGGAUAUACUGUAUCAAAGUGUUAGGAGAUCUCUCUUAUUUGGAAUUUCAGAAUGUUAAGUCAAAUUUAUGGUGAUAUGAACUUGUGGUGAAUAGUUGGAGUUCUGAUUGUAUAAUUUAUUUAGCUUGUGGAUUUAUAAAUGUUGUUCAUGUUUGUCAA